rnacentral:rRNA from 1 species
GUGUCAGCAGCCGCGGUAAUACGGAGGGUGCAAGCGUUGUUCGGAUUUACUGGGCGUAAAGAGCGUGUAGGCGGUUUAGCAAGUCAGAUGUGAAAGCCCUGGGCUUAACCCGGGAAGUGCAUUUGAAACUGCUUCACUAGAGUAUGGGAGAGGAGAUUGGAAUUCCUGGUGUAGAGGUGAAAUUCGUAGAUAUCAGGAGGAACACCCGUGGCGAAGGCGAUUCUCUGGACCAAUACUGACGCUGAGACGCGAAAGCGUGGGGAGCAAACAGGAUUAGAUACCCUGGUAGUCCACGCCGUAAACGAUGAGAACUAGGUGUAGUGGGUAUUGACCCCUGCUGUGCCGAAGUUAACGCAUUAAGUUCUCCGCCUGGGGAGUACGGCCGCAAGGCUAAAACUCAAAUGAAUUGACGG